rnacentral:lncRNA from 1 species
AAUCAUAGCUAUGUAGACAUAACAUAAAGCAGCUCAUCACCUGGCUCUCAGCCACUAUUGUUUGUGAGGUGUAUAAAUAUAACACUGAUACUGUGAAAGAGCUGCUGAAUAAAGCCGUGUCUCAUCUACCUGCUGUCUCCCAAGUGUUCUUCCAGCUCCCUGCCCCUCAUCAACCCACUCUCCUCAGACCUCAGCUGGGGCUUGAACCUGAUAAUUGGUGUAGUCAUCAGGAUGAGAUUUAGAAGUGGUGGUGCCCCUCUUGUGACAGCAUUUGGCAGUGUGCAGUUGGGCCAUCAAUAAAUCCAAGGUCCAAGGGCCGGAAUUGUCUGCCAAAUUCUUGGGAGUUAUUUGCUCAGCCACAGGUUGGCAUGCUCCAACAACAUUGUGGACUGGGCUCACACCUAUGCUGAGGUGGCCAAUGUCUCCAACUGUUAGAUCUGCACCACCCUUCCAGCAGCAGCUGUGGAUGGCUUGCCUUGGCAUGUGCAUCCAGCUUUUGUGAAGAACUGGACAUGGCUAGAAACUUGGGGUCCCACAGACAAUGGGCGGGAUGCAACAUGGUGAGCUUUGGAUGGGGGUGUCACAAAACCCAUGGCAAGCCUGCCCCCUGGCUGACUCAUAGCAUCCAUGAUGAAUGGGGCUGGCUAAUGGGAGAAAACAUGGUGGCCCCAUUGCAAGUACCACGAUGUAUAGAGCAACACUGGGGUAAGGUCACUGUGGGAUGGUUGCCUGCUGAGACCUGUGCAAACGUAACACAUGCCACCAUGCCAAGGAUGUGGUGGAACAAGCAGCCCUACCAAGGCUGGGCCCCCAUGGACUUUGUGCCUGCUGGGAGUUUAUAGGUCUGUGGGGACAUAGGAUGGCCAUAUCUGCCAGCCAACUAGACUGGACAUUGUACCUGGGAGUGGCCUUCUGUGCCUGCCACUGUGCUUCCCACAUUGCUUAGUCACACACAUAACUGGGAGGUGCUGUGUUCCCAGUUUUUGUGAGUGCAUUGAGCCCCUAGUGGUUCUACCCCUUAGCAAUAACUGUCCCUGGAACAGGUGUCAUCACUGUAGAAAUGCAGGUUACAGCCCUUGCAGAACACAGAGAUUGGGCCCAUGAAUUACACCUGAGCUGCCCUCCUUUUGUUAAUUGAUGAGUUUGAUCAGAUCAGGAAGGUGGUGAUGCAAAACCGGAUGGCCUUAGACAUAGUCACAGCUGCUCAAGGUGGCACCUGUGCCCUUGUAGGGACAGAGUGUUGUACAUUCAUCCCUGACAACCACCAGAACAUAGUGGCAGCUUUGCAGGGGGUGUCAUGUCAUAGGAGAUUAAGGCAAUUGAAUACCUUACUGAUGACCGCCUGCAGAGAUGGUGGGUGUCUCUGGGCUCUGGCCUACACUGGGCUCUUAUAAUCAUAGGUAGCAUAGCAGGAAUAUUAGUAGUAGGUUGUUGCUCUCUUUAUUGUUGCUGUGGCCUCUGGGUCCAGGGUGCUCCCCUAUGUGCACGAGUUCCCAUUAAGAGGACCCCCUUGGCCUAGGGGGCGGAGUGUAAGGAACAUGGCUGUGUUGCUGCCAGGCAGGCAUAGGCCGAGGUAAAAAUCCUGCAUGACACAGUGGGAUUAGAGCACACGCGCGCAAUCCUGUGCCUGAUAUAAUCACAGCUAGGUAGACAUAACACAGAGAAGCUCAUCAUUUGGCUCUCAGCCACUAUCAUUUGUGAGGUGUACAAAUGUAACACUGACACUGUGAAAGAGCUGCUGAAUAAAGCCAUGUCUCAUCUACCUGCUCUCUCUCGAGUGUUCUUCCAGCUCCCUGCCCCCCGCCCCAUCUACCCACACCCCUCUGACCUCAGCUGGGGCUUGAAACUGACAUUUGCUUUAUUGUACUUUGCAGAUACUUAAAAAAAAAACCAAAUUAAAGUUUUGUGGCAACCCUGUGUUGAGCAAGC